UCACCUGCCGAAUGAACUAGCCCUGAAAAUGGAUGGCGCUGAAGCGGGCCACUUAUACCUGACCAUUAUACCAAGGGAGUAUGGUAUAAUGAGUAGGAGGGCGUGUUGAUUGUAACGCAGACUAGUGUGUGAACACGGUUGAAACAAUCAAUAGUGCAGAUCUUGGUGGUAGUAGCAACUAUUCAAAUGAGAACUUUGAAGACUGAAGUGGAGAAAGGUUUGAUGUGAACAGCAUUUGUACAUCAGUGAGCCGCUCCUAAGAGAUAAGGUAACCCUAUAGGGAUGUGUAAUAUUAUAGAAUUGAUAUUUAUAUCAGUCACUAGAAUAUUUCGCCUAUCGAAAGGGAACAUGGUUAAUAUUCCAUGGCCAAGUAGGUGAGCAAGCGGUAACGCAUGAAUGUUCGAAGACGCCGGAGAGAUCCCUAGGAAGAGUUUUCUUUUCUUGUUAACAGUUUUUUUAUACCCUUGGAAUCAGUUUAUCUGGCGAUAAGGGCGUAAGACUGGGAAAGUAUACAAAUAUUUUGUGUAUCUGGGUCGGUCUCCACGGUCCGUGAAAAUUCGAACAUGGAAUGUUUUAGAUAUUCGCUCAUACACUUGUGCGUACUCAUAACCGCAUCAGGUCUCCA
rnacentral:rRNA from 1 species